rnacentral:rRNA from 1 species
CAAAAACAUCGCCUCUUGCAAAAUCAAAGAAUAAGAGGUCCCGCCUGCCCUGUGACAAUCAGUUUAACGGCCGCGGUAUUUUGACCGUGCGAAGGUAGCGCAAUCACUUGUCUCUUAAAUGGGGACCUGUAUGAAUGGCACAACGAGGGCUUGACUGUCUCCUUUUCCUAAUCAAUGAAAUUGAUCUCCCCGUGCAGAAGCGGGGAUCAAAACAUAAGACGAGAAGACCCUAUGGAGCUUUAGACACUAGGAAGGACCACAUCAUUCAUUCCCCAAAACAAAGGAUCAAACUAAACGGCCCCCUUCCCCAUGUCUUUGGUUGGGGCGACCACGGGGAAAUAUAAAACCCCCACGAGGACCGGGAAUACUACCCCCUAAAACUAAGAGCAACAGCUCUAAGCACCAGAAUAUCUGACCUAAAAGAUCCGGCGUAAGCCGAUCAACGAACCGAGUUACCCUAGGGAUAACAGCGCAAUCCUCUUCUAGAGCCCAUAUCGACAAGAGGGUUUACGACCUCGAUGUUGGAUCAGGACAUCCUAAUGGUGCAGCCGCUAUUAAGGGUUCGUUUGUUCAACGAUUAAAGUCCUACGUGAUCU